rnacentral:rRNA from 1 species
GACGAACGCUGGCGGCGUGCUUAACACAUGCGAGUCGAACGGAAAGGCCCUGCUUUUGUGGGGUGCUCGAGUGGCGAACGGGUGAGUAACACGUGAGUAACCUGCCCUUGACUUUGGGAUAACUUCAGGAAACUGGGGCUAAUACCGGAUAGGAGCUCCUGCUGCAUGGUGGGGGUUGGAAAGUUUCGGCGGUUGGGGAUGGACUCGCGGCUUAUCAGCUUGUUGGUGGGGUAGUGGCUUACCAAGGCUUUGACGGGUAGCCGGCCUGAGAGGGUGACCGGCCACAUUGGGACUGAGAUACGGCCCAGACUCCUACGGGAGGCAGCAGUGGGGAAUAUUGCACAAUGGGCGGAAGCCUGAUGCAGCAACGCCGCGUGCGGGAUGACGGCCUUCGGGUUGUAAACCGCUUUCGCCUGUGACGAAGCGUGAGUGACGGUAAUGGGUAAAGAAGCGCCGGCUAACUACGUG